CCGAAAAUUUCAUUAAUUUACUAAGAUGACGCCGUUUAUUCUUUACCAAUGCGGCUAUAGUUUCUCAAUAAUUUCAAAAACGUACAAGGCACCUAGGGUGCAUCACAUAUACAUAUAAUCUGUAGAAUCACUAUGGUCCAACAGGUUCAAAAAAUAUUAGUGAAGUUCUUUUUUGACAAAGUUACUAAUGGAACUAGUUCCUAUAAAAUAAUGACCAUAUUCCUAGUAGACUAUAUAUUGAAAAACUUAUAAAGGGAGAAACUAUAUUAGUAUCGGCAGACAGAUAAAAAUAAUUAUGUGUACUUAGGUACUGUUUGGGGUUGCUGUUGCAGACAGCAACAGCAGCUUUUUGCUGAAAAGCAUGUGAAAAACUGUUUGGUAAAUCGAAAAGCAGCUUUUUUUAACAGCAGCUUUUAGCUGAAAAGCUGCUGUUAGAAAAAGCAGGUCCUCCCAUGCUUUUGGAAAAAGCUGCUUUUCAGCUUUUGCAGAAUGCUGUUAUAGAUUUCAUUAUAAAACAUCACCAAAAACAUUAUUGUUUUUAAUAUUAUAACUCAAAAUAAGUAUAUCAAAAAAUUACCAAACAGUUAUCUGAUUUCUACAACAGCACUUAUUUUACCAGCACUUUUUCUCACAGCACAGCAAUUUUUAACAGCACUCCCAAACAGACCCUUAAAUGAGAAUGUCACAGCACAUGUGCCCAAAAUUUGGGAGAAGGCAAAGAAAAGCCCAAAACUGAAGCACCUAGGUGAAAGGCACAUCUUAACAUGAAACCCUUGCAAUCAGUGCUCAUGCAAGGCCCUCU
rnacentral:lncRNA from 1 species